rnacentral:rRNA from 1 species
AGUCUGGUGCCAGCAGCCGCGGUAAUUCCAGCUCCAAUAGCGUUUAUUAAAGUUGCUGCAGUUAAAAAGCUCGUAGUUGGAUUUCUGGUUUCGGUGCCCUUGGGUCGCUCCGAUCUCUUCGGAGGUUGUGAGUGUAUUCCGAGGUCUUUUUUGCGCCGGCCAUCUUUUCGGAGGGGGUGUUGGGUGUAAUAGCUCAAUGCCAUUCCAAACUCUCCGAAUCAUAUACUGAUAAAAUUAGAGUGUUUAAAACGGCUUCUCAGCAUUUGAAUACAUUAGCAUGGAAUAAUAAGAUAGGACUCCUGUUCUGUUUUGUUGGUUUUCCUUUGGGAUUGGAGUAAUGAUUGAUAGGGAUAGUUGGGGGUGCUAGUAUUUAACGGCCAGAGGUGAAAUUCUUGGAUUCGUUAAAGACUAACUAAUGCGAAAGCAUUCACCAAGGAUGUCUUCUUUAAUCAAGAACGAAAGUUGAGGGAUCGAAGACGAUCAGAUACCGUCGUAGUCUCAACUAUAAACUUUACCGACUAGGAAUGGGUGAGCGUUGAAAUUUCUUCCUGCAGAUUUGAAAUAUUAGUUUGCAGGGAAAGCCCGACCUCAUCCGCACCUUAUGAGAAAUCACAAGUCUUUGGGUUCUGGGGAGAGUAUGGUCGCAAGGCUGAAACUUAAAGGAAUUGACGGAAGGGCACCACCAGGAGUGGAGCCUGCGGCUUAAUUUGACCCAACACGGGGAAACUUACCAGGUCCAGACAUAGUAAGGAUUGACAGAUUGAAGCUCUUUCUUGAUUCUAUGGUUGGUGGUGCAUGGCCGUUCUUAGUUGGUGGAGUGAUUUGUCUGGUUUAUUCCGUUAACGAACGAGGCCUCGACCUGCUAAAUAGUGCCGGCAACUGUCACCUUUCGGGGUGUCUUGUUGCAACCGGCUUUCAAUACUUCUUAGAGGGACUCUCGGUGUCAACUAGCCGAUGGAAGCUCGAGGCAAUAACAGGUCUGUGAUGCCCUUAGAUGUUCUGGGCCGCACGCGCGCUACACUGACACACUCAUCGAGUUUACAACCUUGGCCGAUAGGUCUGGGUAAUCUGGCUCAACGUGUGUCGUGCUGGGGAUAGAUCAUUGUAAUUAUUGAUCUUCAACGAGGAAUUCCUAGUAAACGCAAGUCAUCAGCUUGCAUUGAUUACGUCCCUGCCCUUUGUACACACCGCCCGUCGCUACUACCGAUUGAAUGGCUUAGUGAGUUUCAUGGAUCAGUGUGCUUCCUGGCUCCUCGUGGGUCAGGUCGUUCUGCCGAGAAGUGAAUCAAACUUGAUCAUUUAGAGGAAGUG